GCGAGUGUGGUACAAUGGUAGCACACGACCUUGCCAUGGUUGAGACGGGGGUUCGAUUCCCCUCACUCGCU
rnacentral:tRNA from 1 species